GCCCGCGUCUGAUUAGCUAGUUGGUGGGGUAACGGCCUACCAAGGCGACGAUCAGUAGCUGGUCUGAGAGGAUGAUCAGCCACACUGGGACUGAGACACGGCCCAGACUCCUACGGGAGGCAGCAGUGGGGAAUAUUGGACAAUGGGCGCAAGCCUGAUCCAGCCAUGCCGCGUGAGUGAUGAAGGCCUUAGGGUUGUAAAGCUCUUUUAUCCNNNACGAUAAUGACGGUACCGGAGGAAUAAGCCCCGGCUAACUUCGUGCCAGCAGCCGCGGUAAUACGAAGGGGGCUAGCGUUGCUCGGAAUCACUGGGCGUAAAGGGCGCGUAGGCGGNGUUUUAAGUCGGGGGUGAAAGCCUGUGGCUCAACCACAGAAUGGCCUUCGAUACUGGGACGCUUGAGUAUGGUAGAGGUUGGUGGAACUGC
rnacentral:rRNA from 1 species